rfam:Pseudomonas fuscovaginae strain IRRI 6609 Pf_IRRI_6609_contig_20.20, whole genome shotgun sequence.
ACAGUGCAAAGGCUGUCGUUGACAGCACCCCAGGUGACCCGAGCCUUCAAAGUCACGCCGCUCUCGCGGUGGCUCUACCCAAGGGCGAUUCGCAUCCGGCAGCUCGCCCGCUCACUACCCAUGUGAUGGAUGC